CUUCAUUUGAAUGACGUACAAAGCAUCACAGAUUCACUUGACAUUCAAUUGAACCUAUCACAUACAGACUAUACAGUAAAUAACAAUAAAAUGCAAUCACUAAUUAACAAAUUACAAAUUGAAUCAACAAGUGGUGGCUGCAAGCGUGGAGUGAGGAAUCACUUACUUCAAAAUAUUUUUAUUAAAGUCGGCUGGAGUGAGCGAGGACCAGAGGGCGGCGCGGCUAUUGCAGGACCGGAGGGCGGCGCGGUCUGGUAAUGGUGGUUGCAGGCGUCGUCUAAUGCAGGAGGGCUGAUGGCAACGUGGUCAAGUAGUGGUGGCUGGCGGCGCAGUCUGUUGUAUGGCGACGAUUGAAAGCGGCGGCCGUUGCGGACCGAUGGAAAUGGCCGCGGAGUGCACGGAGGAGGCGUAGAUUCCUGGCGCCGCUAACGAUUUGGGAGGGAAGAUAGCAUAUUUGGAGAGAAUUGGGAGAGAGGCAGC
rnacentral:lncRNA from 1 species